rnacentral:rRNA from 1 species
UACGGAGGGUGCAAGCGUUAUCCGGAUUUACUGGGUUUAAAGGGUGCGUAGGUGGAUUGGGAAGUCAGUGGUGAAAUACUACAGCGCAACUGUGGAACUGCCAUUGAUACUAUCAAUCUUGAAUACAGUGGAGGCGGGCGGAAUGUGUCAUGUAGCGGUGAAAUGCUUAGAUAUGACACAGUACACCAAUUGCGAAGGCAGCUCACUAAACUGUAACUGACACUGAGGCACGAAAGCGUGGGGAUCAAACAGG